ensembl:lncRNA
AAUACAUUAACCAGUAGUGAAUAAAAGGUUUAUAGACAAGUAGCUCCACAUGUUUGGUUUAGCUUCCUGAAGCAUCCAUCAAGGCAUUUGUGUCUCUUCCCAGCCCUCACCCAGUAUAAACCACAAAACUACAGAGCCGGUGAAGGCUUUAUCAACAGCAAUGCUGAUAAAUUCAUAUAUAUAUCAUAUAGCUGAUGUCUGCUGUGUUGUAAGCUACUCACACUGUCCUCCUGCCACCCACUUGAUGCCAAUCCACCAGAGCGUGAACAUGGAGCAAUGAUGGUAGACGUGCAGGAAGGUGACCUGGUUAAAUUUUUUCCUCAGGAUGAAAAACACAGUGUCCAGAUACUCAAUGCCUUUGGAGAUGAAAUACCUCCACAGAGCUCCUGCCACCUGACUCCCGCAGAAAUAAAGAAGGGGAAGAAAAAGACUGUUAACAUAUGAACAUAUAUGAUCAAGAGCUACAUGUGUGUGAACUCUGAUUUUGGAAAUCCUAACCUCGACCCGAGACUGACUCACUUGUGGUUUCUGUUUCAAACUACGUCAUAGAGCAACAGGAAGGAAGGUGAAACUGAACACCAUUCAACUCCGGCUUGUACUUUUUUCUGAUAACAGGCCCGUGCUCUAAAUGUAUGGAUGCCUCUCAUGUUUCUAAAAGCUCUCUGAGUGACGUGUCCCUGGCAGGCUGACUGUAAUUUUCUGAACCAUGGGUACAGUGGAGAAUUAUUAACAGGUAGGGAUCUGGUUCCAAGGAAACUAAUUAUUGUAGACACAAAAGUCUUAAGAUAGUAAGUUACAUAAACAGCUGAAGUCCCACUACUAUAUUCAGAGUUUAUCUAUGCAAGCGUGUGUGUGUGUGUGUGUGUGUGUGUGUGUGUGUGUGUGUGUGUGUGUUCGGGAGAGUUGGGGUAUCCAAUUUCCUUUUUUU